CCAAUACUUGAGAAGAAUCUAGGAUAAGUAAUCCUGCAUACUCCCUCCAAUCAGAUCAUGAAUUGAUAAUUUGUGAUAAAGAGGCAUCUAUUUUAAUGGUUAACCAGGGUUGGGACGUGCCUUUGUACGGUGAAGACAGUACCUCAGAACAGUUCAGAAUUUGCCUGGAAAAAGCAGAGUAUAUAAUCCAUCGUCAAGAAGUAGAUUACUCCUGAGCAUUUGUGAAUCUAUCCUUCAUGCUGGAUACAACUGUACCGCAGAUUGAGAUGAACAAAAGAAAAAGAUGAAAGAAUCGCCAGACACCUGAUAUUCCCCCGAAGAACUGUGUUGUAUGUGUCUUUUCUGCUCACAUCGAAGUGUAAAGAGAGUAACCCCAAGAGGCUAUAUGAACAACCUAUAUCCUGCCAAGCCCAAAACUCCAAGAGUUGAUUCUACUACAUCAGCAACCCGAAAGUCUGAACAGUUGGAUAUAUGUAUCGAUAAGGCAAGAGUUGAUUAUACUGGAUCAGCAAUGCGAAAGUCUGAACAUUUGGAUACAUUUGUGAUUAGUAUCAAUAAGGCAAGAGUUGACACUACUAAAUCAACAACUUAAGCGUCUGAUCUGCAGUUUGAUGCAAGAGAGUAAUACCGAUAAAAAUACAACAGUUUGAUCUGAAUAGUUCUAGAUGAUCCUACGGCUAGUCCUGCCGCUCCAGUAUCAACAAUUGCGGCCACUUUUUUGUUGGACUCGAACAAAAAAAAGGAAAAGAAAUAGAAUGGGAUCCAAGAAGAAAGUUGAAUCUCAGGAUGGUUACGGAUGCUGAGAAGACCGUCGCGACAUCCAGUAAGCGAAAGAAGAAGUCUUGGACUGGUUUGAAGGAAAUUGAUGAAAGUCAGAGUAGCAAUAGAAGGAAGCAUUCAAUAGCUUCCAACAACUAGGGUUAAGUUUUUCUCCGAACUAAUAUUUAGUUCAGGUUUGAAGUUUUAAACUAAAAUUCAUUGUGUAGGAUUUUGGCGGCAACUAAAAUUUCAUUUUUUUUAUGUUAGUUGUUACUACUUUUAAUUUUCUA